AACGCGAAGAACCUUACCUGGGUUUGACAUGCACAGGACGCUGGUAGAGAUAUCAGUUCCCUUGUGGUCUGUGUGCAGGUGGUGCAUGGCUGUCGUCAGCUCGUGUCGUGAGAUGUUGGGUUAAGUCCCGCAACGAGCGCAACCCUUGUCUCAUGUUGCCAGCGGGUAGUGCCGGGGACUCGUGAGAGACUGCCGGGGUCAACUCGGAGGAAGGUGGGGAUGACGUCAAGUCAUCAUGCCCCUUAUGUCCAGGGCUUCACACAUGCUACAAUGGCCGGUACAAAGGGCUGCGAUGCCGUGAGGUUAAGCGAAUCCUUUAAAGCCGGUCUCAGUUCGGAUCGGGGUCUGCAACUCGACCCCGUGAAGUCGGAGUCGCUAGUAAUCGCAGAUCAGCAACGCUGCGGUGAAUACGUUCCCGGGCCUUGUA
rnacentral:rRNA from 1 species